rnacentral:misc_RNA from 1 species
GGUCCCUAAAAGUUACCCUAAAAGUAAAUAAAAGAUAAGGAGUGGAUAGGAAAUGAGGUGUAAAAUUAUCCAAGUCAGCAGCACUAUUCACGUUCUGGGCAUUCUGCUUAGGGUUCGGCUUAACCCUAAGCNNNNNNNNNNUUUAGCAGAUUUCAGCUUCUGGUCGCACUGUCUGCUUAAGGUUAAGCAGACCUUCAGCAAAUCUCGACAGACUUAUAGUAAAAUGGACUUUUCUGCUCAUGCUUGACUUGUGUUGCACCUUAAGCANNNNUUGCCGCUUUACCCUAAGCAUGAUCUUAAGCAAAGCCUCAAGCAAAUUUCGGCUGGUUUGCUUUUUCAAGGUUUGAUUUCUUUAACUUUCCUCCAUGCUUAAAGAACUCCAAAUUUCUUCAAAUCACUUC